rnacentral:rRNA from 1 species
GACAGAGGCCUCAAGCGUUAGGCGGAAUCACUGGGCUUAAAGCGUGUGUAGGCGGAUCGUUAAGUACCUUGUGAAAUCCCACGGCUCACCCGUGGAACUGCUGGGUAUACUGGCGGUCUUGGGCCAACUAGGGGCAGCUGGAACAAGCGGUGGAGCGGUGAAAUGCGUAGAUAUCGCUUGGAACGCCGAAGGUGAAAACAGGCUGCUGGGGUUGCGCCGACGCUGAGACACGAAAGCCAGGGGAGCAAACGGG